AGCGAACGCUGGCGGCAGGCCUAACACAUGCAAGUCGAACGGACCCUUCGGGGUUAGUGGCGGACGGGUGAGUAACACGUGGGAACGUGCCUUUAGGUUCGGAAUAGCUCCUGGAAACGGGUGGAAAUGCCGAAUGUGCCCUUCGGGGGAAAGAUUUAUCACCUUUAGAGCGGCCCGCGUCUGAUUAGCUAGUUGGUGAGGUAAUGGCUCACCAAGGCGACGAUCAGUAGCUGGUCUGAGAGGAUGACCAGCCACACUGGGACUGAGACACGGCCCAGACUCCUACGGGAGGCAGCAGUGGGGAAUCUUGCGCAAUGGGCGAAAGCCUGACGCAGCCAUGCCGCGUGAAUGAUGAAGGUCUUAGGAUUGUAAAAUUCUUUCACCGGGGACGAUAAUGACGGUACCCGGAGAAGAAGCCCCGGCUAACUUCGUGCCAGCAGCCGCCGUAA
rnacentral:rRNA from 1 species